rnacentral:rRNA from 1 species
GAAUUCGAUUCAGGCCUAACACAUGCGAGUCGAACGGCAGCACGGGUGCUUGCACCUGGUGGCGAGUGGCGAACGGGUGAGUAAUACAUCGGAACGUACCUUAUCGUGGGGGAUAACGCAGCGAAAGCUGUGCUAAUACCGCAUACGCCCUGAGGGGGAAAGCGGGGGAUCGCAAGACCUCGCGCGAUUAGAGCGGCCGAUGCCUGAUUAGCUAGUUGGUGGGGUAAAAGCCCACCAAGGCGACGAUCAGUAGCUGGUCUGAGAGGACGAUCAGCCACACUGGGACUGAGACACGGCCCAGACUCCUACGGGAGGCAGCAGUGGGGAAUUUUGGACAAUGGGGGCAACCCUGAUCCAGCAAUGCCGCGUGAGUGAAGAAGGCCUUCGGGUUGUAAAGCUGAUGUGUCAGGGAAGAAACACCGGCUCUAACACAGUCCGGGAAUGAC